rnacentral:rRNA from 1 species
UUCUGGAAAGGAGCGCCAUGGAGGGUGAUAGCCCCGUCUAGCAUUGACCUCAUAUAGGAUCUUAACAUGGAGUCGAGUUGUUUGGGAAUGCAGCUCAAAUGGGUGGUAUGCUCCAUCUAAAGCUAAAUAUCUGCGAGAGACCGAUAGUAAACAAGUACUGUGAGGGAAAGAUGAAAAGAACUUUGAAAAGAGAGUGAAAAAGUACGUGAAAUUGUUG